rnacentral:misc_RNA from 1 species
GAGGAGGAAGGACACCAGCCGAUCUGCCUAUGCCUGGAGUCUCGCCGUUGUCCAGUGAAGCGUGUUAGCUCACGUGCCUCCAGAAGACUCGCGUCAUUCUCCACGGGCCGGCGCGUGCACCCUUUUUUUGGUGAUUUCUCUGACCGCGCCUCUUGUCGACGACCUUCUCUGUCCGGCUCGCCUCUGACCAACGUGUUUCCAC